CCGGGGGCUAUCCACGCGGGGGUGGUCUCAUUCGAAAGAGGGCCUCGAGACGUACACUCGAUUCGCGUUCGAGAGGGUUCCUCGAGCUGAAGGGAUCCCCCGAAUUUGGUGCGGAUUCGCCGCGCCGUUACGGAGAUAUGGCCGUUCAAAGUUCCAAUGGUUUUCCAUAGACAAGCUUUAAAGCGUUUCAUCCAGGUCGCCAGUAGCAAACAAUGUGGAGCGCGCUCUGCUGGACAAACUAAGUGCCAUGAUCUUCUAGCCACACUGAAUGGACGACAGCAGGGCUGGAUUUUCAUUGGCUGGCCUGAAGCACCUCUGCUGGGUGGGUGUGGUGUGGCUGCGGUCGGUCACGGCCACUCGAGAAAACAAACCAUCUAUCCACUGUUGAGAGGAGCCACAGAGAAGAGCUGAAAAAUCUCCAGAAGAGAGGCCACAAAGGCCUUCUCCCUACAGCACAACACUAACUCAUGCCAUGCUUGUUCAUUGCCAAAUCAGAGGCACAAGGACACAAUACACUCUUACGCCAAUAUCUACUCUUUGGAAACUCUUUUGCAAUCCAUCGAGGUCAAGAACAUUCCAUUGAACUAUGAUAAAUGACAACUAAAGCAUGAUUUUCCUUUCUUCUUCACUUUGAUUGGCAGUAGAGCAUGUUCAUGUUGCUUCCAAAACGCCUUAUGGACACUGCGUUAAACGAAACAUCUACAGAAAUGCAGAACAUCCCCAUGGGAAAGUGCAAGUUUACUUGAGCAGGAUGUGAAAUGCCUGUGGUACUUCUAUUUACAUAUCUGUGAAAUGGAUUUUAACCUGGAACUUGUAGAGAUUUUACAGCACAAUGUAUUAUCGAGGACUUCCUCUUGUUUUAAGAUUUCUUGAAGGUUUAAACAUUUGAUAAAUGCAUUUAAUUUAUGUGUUUGUGACAAAACAAAACAGUAAAGAGAGAAAUUGCACAUGAGAUUACAUGAUGGAUGAUGAGGGUAUUGAUGUUUGUAACCCUUUUCCUUUGGAUUUGAAUGCUGGAUUAUCUUUAAAGGAAUAGUCUGGGUUUAAUACAAGUUAUGCUCUGUCGAUAGCCUUUGUCACGUAAUGUUGAUGAAUUUCAACUAGUUCCUCGUUCCAGUGAGGUACUUAACAAUGGGGCCAUUUUAUAAACAAUAGGGCCUUUCGCACCGCUUUAGUUCCAGAACUAAAUGUACAGUACUAAAGUACUGGGACGAUUUUGCGCGAACUAUUUCCCAGUACCAUUUAAAGUGUUGCAUUCGCACCGACAGUGUGUACUAAGAAGUGACGUAAGCCGGUUGACAGCGGCGUCAUUUGUGCGCCGCGUUCAACAACAGAAACAAAGAAGAACAACAUUAACAACAGGAGUAUGGAGGACGCUGUGAUCGGAGCUGUUUUUGUGUCUCGCGGGUUUCACAAUAAUAGACAUGGAAAGUCGACGUAUACGUAAAGCGAUUGAAAGAACGGAAAGGAGGACUAAGAAUCUCCAACGACAACUGGCAGUGCUACAUUUGCUACAAGUGCCUGCACUUCAGCG
rnacentral:lncRNA from 1 species